rnacentral:rRNA from 1 species
CCUACGGGAGGCAGCAGUAGGGAAUUUUCGGCAAUGGGGGGAACCCUGACCGAGCAACGCCGCGUGAACGAAGAAGUUAUUCGUAAUGUAAAGUUCUUUUAACAGGGAAGAAAGAGAAAUUUGACGGUACCUGAAGAAUAAGCUCCGGCCAACUACGUGCCAGCAGCCGCGGUAAUACGUAGGGAGCGAGCGUUAUCCGGAAUUAUUGGGCGUAAGGGGUGCGUAGAUGGCAUAGUAAGUCUUUUGGAAAAAGGCUGGGCUCAACCCAGUAGGGCAAAAGAUACUGCAAAGCUAGAGUAUGACAGAGGCAAGUGGAACUACAUGUGUAGCGGUAAAAUGCGUAAAGAUAUGUAAGAACACCAGUGGCGAAGGCGGCUUGCUGGGUCGAUACUGACAUUGAGGCACGAAAGCGUGGGGAGCAAACAGGAUUAGAUACCCGGGUAGUC